rnacentral:rRNA from 1 species
UAUCAAAAAGCUGAGGAAAAGAAACCAACAGGGAUUGCCUCAGUAACGGCGAGUGAAGCGGCAAAAGCUCAAAUUUGAAACCCUCGGGAUUGUAAUUUGAAGAUUUGGCAUUGGAGAAAGCUAACCCAAGUUGCUUGGAAUAGUACGUCAUAGAGGGUGACAACCCCGUCUGGCUAACCGUUCUCCAUGUAUUGCCUUAUCAAAGAGUCGAGUUGUUUGGGAAUGCAGCUCAAAGUGGGUGGUAAACUCCAUCUAAAGCUAAAUACUGGUGAGAGACCGAUAGCGAACAAGUACUGUGAAGGAAAGGUGAAAAGAACUUUGAAAAGAGAGUGAAAUAGUAUGUGAAAUUGUUGAUAGGGAAGGAAAUGAGUGGAGAGUGGCCGAGGUUUCAGCCGCCCCUCGUGGGCGGUGUACUGCCGACGCCGAGUCAUCGAUAGCGAGACGAGGGUUACAAAUGGGAGCGCCUUCGGGCGUUCUCCCCUAACCCUCCACACUGCCACCGACGACAUAAUCCACCCAUUUCACCCGUCUUGAACCACGG